CCGUGUAACAAACGGCUGGUCCGAAAGAUAUUAGCUGAUCCUAGUGAGGCUUGGUUCUACUCGGCGUGAUAAUUAUCUAACGUUGAGGACAUCGCAAGAUGGCCAAACUGAAACUUUAUGGAUUGCUUCUAAUCGUCUUCAUCGACAAACUUUUUAAUCAAUCUGACCUCGAAUCAGGCGGGACUACCCGCUGAACUUAA
rnacentral:misc_RNA from 1 species